GACGAACGCUGGCGGCGUGCUUAACACAUGCAAGUCGAACGGACAGGCCCUGCUUUUGUGGGGUGCUCGAGUGGCGAACGGGUGAGUAACACGUGAGUAACCUGCCCUUGACUUUGGGAUAACUUCAGGAAACUGGGGCUAAUACCCGAUAGGAGCUCCUGCUGCAUGGUGGGGGUUGGAAAGUUUCGGCGGUUGGGGAUGGACUCGCGGCUUAUCAGCUUGUUGGUGGGGUAGUGGCUUACCAAGGCUUUGACGGGUAGCCGGCCUGAGAGGGUGACCGGCCACAUGGGGACUGAGAGACGGCGCAGACUGCUACGGGAGGCAGCAGGGGGGAAUAUUGCACAAUGGGCGGAAGCCUGAGGCAGCAACGCCGCGUGCGGGAUGACGGCCUUCGGGUUGAAAACCGCUUUCGCCUGUGACGAAGAGUGAGUGACGGUAAUGGGUAAAGAAGCACCGGCUAACUACGUG
rnacentral:rRNA from 1 species